UCACUUUUACCACAUUCUUUUGGUCACAAGGAGAGGGAAUUACACAUCACCUGAUUUUGGAUGCAUGUGUGAGGUAUGCUACUGUACUCACAAGACAUCUGAAACUAUACCCAGAUCAUCUAGAAGUGAACAUGUUCCAGGUGAUGUCCCUAUGUAAACCAAGGGUUGGUUUUCAGUGGUAAAAAGUCAAUUAACCACUGGUGGGCAAUAUCCAAAAUUGAUAGCAGAAACAGAAAAAUAAAAGACUACUCAGCAAAGACAAGUAGAGUUUCUGGAGGCUGGGAUGUCCAAGGUCAAGAUGCUGACAGAUUGAUUGUCCCUGGAAAGCCUGCUUCAUAGAUGACCAUCUUCUCCGUGUGUUCUCCCUGUGUUCUCAGGAGUGGGGUUACCUUUCUGGUGCCUCUUUUUCAUAAGGACACUAUUCCCGUUCCUGAGGGCUCCAUUCUCAUAACACAACAUCCAGAAGGUCCUACAUUCUAAUAUCAUCAUACUGCAGGUUAGAAUUUCAGCAUGUUAAUUUUGGUAUGACACAUUCAGUCUAUAGUAGCAACCCUCCCUUGAAACUCAAU
rnacentral:lncRNA from 1 species